GCCCUACGGGGCGCAGCAGUGAGGAAUAUUGGUCAAUGGGCGCGAGCCUGAACCAGCCAAGUCGCGUGAGGGAAGACGGUCCUAUGGAUUGUAAGCCUCUUUUGUCGGGGAGCAAAAGACGCCACGCGUGGCGUUCCGAGAGUACCCGAAGAAAAAGCAUCGGCUAACUCCGUGCCAGCAGCCGCGGUAAUACGGAGGAUGCGAGCGUUAUCCGGAUUUAUUGGGUUUAAAGGGUGCGCAGGCGGAAGAUCAAGUCAGCGGUAAAAUUGAGAGGCUCAACCCCGGCCCGCCGUUGAAACUGGCAG
rnacentral:rRNA from 1 species